GACGUAGGGCGCGAGCGUUGUCCGGAUUUAUUGGGCGUAAAGAGCUCGUAGGCGGCUUGUCGCGUCGUCCGUGAAAACCUGCAGCUCAACUGCAGGCUUGCGGUCGAUACGGGCAGGCUAGGAGUUCGGUAGGGGAGACUGGAAUUCCUGGUGUAGCGGUGAAAUGCGGCAGAGUAUCAGGAGGAACACCCGGUGGGCGAAGGCGGGUCUCUGGGCCGAUACUG
rnacentral:rRNA from 1 species